rnacentral:rRNA from 1 species
AUUACCGAGUUUACAACUCCCAAACCCCUGUGAACAUACCAAUUGUUGCCUCGGCGGAUCAGCCCGCUCCCGGUAAAACGGGACGGCCCGCCAGAGGACCCCUAAACUCUGUUUCUAUAUGUAACUUCUGAGUAAAACCAUAAAUAAAUCAAAACUUUCAACAACGGAUCUCUUGGUUCUGGCAUCGAUGAAGAACGCAGCAAAAUGCGAUAAGUAAUGUGAAUUGCAGAAUUCAGUGAAUCAUCGAAUCUUUGAACGCACAUUGCGCCCGCCAGUAUUCUGGCGGGCAUGCCUGUUCGAGCGUCAUUUCAACCCUCAAGCCCCCGGGUUUGGUGUUGGGGAUCGGCGAGCCCUUGCGGCAAGCCGGCCCCGAAAUCUAGUGGCGGUCUCGCUGCAGCUUCCAUUGCGUAGUAGUAAAACCCUCGCAACUGGUACGCGGCGCGGCCAAGCCGUUAAACCCCCAACUUCUGAAUGUUGACCUCGGAUCAGGUAGGAAUACCCGCUGAACUUAAGCAUAUCAAUAAGCCGGAGGAA